rnacentral:rRNA from 1 species
CAGCAGCCGCGGGAAUACAGAGGGUGCGAGCGUUAAUCGGAUUUACUGGGCGUAAAGCGUGCGUAGGCGGCUUUUUAAGUCGGAUGUGAAAUCCCUGAGCUUAACUUAGGAAUUGCAUUCGAUACUGGGAAGCUAGAGUAUGGGAGAGGAUGGUAGAAUUCCAGGUGUAGCGGUGAAAUGCGUAGAGAUCUGGAGGAAUACCGAUGGCGAAUGCAGCCAUCUGGCCUAAUACUGACGCUGAGGUACGAAAGCAUGGGGAGCAAACAGGAUUAGAUACCCGGGUAGUCCCUGUCUCUUAUAA